rnacentral:rRNA from 1 species
GACGAACGCUGGCGGCGUGCUUAACACAUGCAAGUCGAACGGAAAGGCCCUGCUUUUGUGGGGUGCUCGAGUGGCGAACGGGUGAGUAACACGUGAGUAACCUGCCCUUGACUUUGGGAUAACUUCAGGAAACUGGGGCUAAUACCGGAUAGGAGCUCCUGCUGCAUGGUGGGGGUUGGAAAGUUUCGGCGGUUGGGGAUGGACUCGCGGCUUAGCAGCUUGUUGGUGGGGUAGUGGCUUACCAAGGCGUUGACGGGUAGCCGGCCUGAGAGGGUGACCGGCCACAUUGGGACUGAGGUACGGCCCAUACUCAUACGGGAGGCAGCAGUGGGGAAUAUUGCACAAUGGGCGGAAGCCUGAUGCAGCAACGCCGCGUGCGGGAUGACGGCCUUCGGGGUGUAAACCGCUUUCGCCUGUGACGAAGCGUGAGUGACGGUAAUGGGUAAAGAAGCACCGGCUAACUACGUG